rnacentral:rRNA from 1 species
ACUCCUACGGGAGGCAGCAGUGGGAAUAUUGGACAAUGGGGGCAACCCGUAGCAUCCAGCCAUGCCGCGUGUGCGAUGAAGGCCGCUUUCGGGGUUGUAAAAGCACUUUCAGUCGGGAGGAAAGGCGUAACGCUAAUAUCGUUGCGAGUUGACGUUACCGACAGAAGAAGCACCGGCAAACUCCGUGCCAGCAGCCGCGGUAAUACGGAGGGUGCAAGCGUUAAUCGGAAUUACUGGGCGUAAAGCGCAUGCAGGUGGUUUGUUAAGUCAGAUGUGAAAGCCCGGGGCUCAACCUCGGAAUUGCAUUUGAAACUGGCAGACUAGAGUACUGUAGAGGGGGGUGAGAAUUGUCAGGUGUAGCGGUGAAAUGCGUAGAGAUCUGAAGGAAUACCGGUGGCGAAGGCGGCCCCCUGGCACAGAUACUGACACUCAGAUGCGAAAGCGUGGGAGCAAACAGGAUUAGAAACCCUGGUAGGCUCUG